rnacentral:rRNA from 1 species
UCAUUUUUGAAGCGAUUAGCUUGCUAAGAGUGGAAAAGCUGAUAACUUAGUGGCGGACGGGUGAGUAACGCGUGGGUAACCUGCCUUACACAGGGGGAUAACACUUAGAAAUAGGUGCUAAUACCGCAUAAGCGCACAGUCCCGCAUGGGACAGAGUGAAAAACAUUAGUGGUGUAAGAUGGACCCGCGUCUGAUUAGCUUGUUGGCGGGGUAACGGCCCACCAAGGCGACGAUCAGUAGCCGGCCUGAGAGGGUGGACGGCCACAUUGGGACUGAGACACGGCCCAAACUCCUACGGGAGGCAGCAGUGGGGGAUAUUGGACAAUGGGGGGAACCCUGAUCCAGCGACGCCGCGUGAGUGAAGAAGUAUUUCGGUAUGUAAAGCUCUGUCAGCAGGGAAGAAAGAAAUGACGGUACCUGACCAAGAAGCCCCGGCUAACUACGUGCCAGCAGCCGCGGUAAUACGUAGGUGGCGAGCGUUAUCCGGAAUGAUUGGGCGUAAAGGGUGCGUAGGCGGCCUGCUAAGUCUGGAGUGAAAGGUACCGGCUCAACCGGUACAGGCUCUGGAAACUGGCGGGCUAGAGAGCAGGAGAGGGCGGUGGAACUCCAUGUGUAGCGGUAAAAUGCGUAGAUAUAUGGAAGAACACCAGUGGCGAAGGCGGCCGCCUGGCCUGUUACUGACGCUGAGGCACGAAAGCGUGGGGAGCAAAUAGGAUUAGAUACCCUAGUAGUCCACGCCGUAAACGAUGA